rnacentral:rRNA from 1 species
AGGAAAAGAAACCAACAGGGAUUGCCCUAGUAACGGCGAGUGAAGCGGCAACAGCUCAAAUUUGAAAUCUGGCUCUUUUAGGGUCCGAGUUGUAAUUUGCAGAGGGCGCUUUGGCGUUGGCAGCGGUCCAAGUUCUUUGGAACAGGACGUCACAGAGGGUGAGAAUCCCGUACGUGGUCGCUAGCCUUCGCCGUGUAAAGCCCCUUCGACGAGUCGAGUUGUUUGGGAAUGCAGCUCUAAAUGGGAGGUAAAUUUCUUCUAAAGCUAAAUACUGGCCAGAGACCGAUAGCGCACAAGUAGAGUGAUCGAAAGAUGAAAAGCACUUUGGAAAGAGAGUCAAAUAGCACGUGAAAUUGUUGAAAGGGAAGCGCUUGCAGCCAGACUUGCCUGUAGUUGCUUAUCUAGACUUUUGUCUAGUGCACUCUUCUGCGGGCAGGCCAGCAUCAGUUUAGGCGGUUGGAUAAAGGUCUCUAUCACGUACCUCCCUUCGGGGUUGGCCUUAUAGGGGAGACGACAUGCAGCCAGCCUGAACUGAGGUCCGCGCAUCUGCUAGGAUGCUGGCGUAAUGGCUGUAAGCGGCCCGUCUUGAAACACGGACC